AAGGGAGACCUAAUUCAGGUAAAAGACGAAAAAAAGUAGUCGCUACCAAGAAUCAAUCUCAAAAGGUCGGAGCGAGGCGAAAUUGGCUUUCAAACUAGGUUCUGGGUUCAAACAAGACCUGAAUCAGGAACAAGGGCUAUUAGCUCAGGUGGUUAGAGCGCACCCCUGAUAAGGGUGAGGUCCCUGGUUCGAGUCCAGGAUGGCCCACCUGCACAGGUGGCAAAAACAAGAGAAGCGAGGAAUCAGCACCUUAUCUUACUGACAUAGUAAGAGAGAAUGCUGGCUCUGAGUAAAGAGUCCAGAGGAACCUUGAAAACUGCAUAGAGCUAGGUGAAAAAGCCAAAAAAGAAGACCGCAAGGUCAAGCUAAUAAGGGCUAACGGUGGAUACCUAGGCAC
rnacentral:tRNA from 1 species